UACGAAGGGGGCUAGCGUUGUUCGGAAUUACUGGGCGUAAAGCGCACGUAGGCGGAUUGUUUAGUCAGGGGUGAAAUCCCAGAGCUUAACUCUGGAACUGCCUUUGAUACUGGCAAUCUCGAGUUCGGAAGAGGUGAGUGGAAUUCCUAGUGUAGAGGUGAAAUUCGUAGAUAUUAGGAAGAACACCAGUGGCGAAGGCGGCUCACUGGUCCGACACUGACGCUGAGGUGCGAAAGCGUGGGGAGCAAACAGG
rnacentral:rRNA from 1 species